AUUCUGUAAGACCAGAUUCUUCAGCCCAUUUAAUGAAACAAUGUUUUACUAUUCUAUGUUAUGGAAAUAUCUAUGGAAAGAAAGGCACAUCUGGCCUAAGGCACAACGUUACAUUUUCUAACAUCAAUUACAAGAAAAAAAGCCUUUUUGUA